GUAGGGGGNAAGCGUUGUCCGGAUUCAUUGGGCGUAAAGAGCGUGUAGGCGGCCAGGUAGGUCGGUUGUGAAAACUGGAGGCUCAACCUUCAGAGGUCGACCGAAACCAUCUGGCUAGAGUCCGGGAGAGGAGAGUGGAAUUCCUGGUGUAGCGGUGAAAUGCGCAGAUAUCAGGAAGAACACCCGUGGCGAAAGCGGCUCUCUGGAACGGUACUGACGCUGAGACGCGAAAGCGUGGGGAGCGAACAGGAUUAGAUACCCUGGUAGUCCACGCCGUAAACGAUGGGCGCUAGGUGUGGGAGGUGUCGACUCCUUCCGUGCCGCAGCUAACGCAUUAAGCGCCCCGCCUGGGGAGUACGGCCGCAAGGCUA
rnacentral:rRNA from 1 species